AGAAACUGGCUGAGUUUCUAGAUUCAUGCAACUCACUGUGUCUGAGAGGAUUCUGACUAUGCCAGAAACUUUAGCCUGCCAGAAAAAAAGAAAAAUAUAAAAAUGUUACCUUAAGAAAAAUAAUUUUUUACCUUUUCCUUUGGUAUUUUUUUGCUAUAUCCUGGUAGCUGAUAUAGAAAGACCAGAUGAAGAUGGCAUAGAUUUAAUUUUAUAUUCACAUAGGAAUUAGGGCUUCUUCCCCCUCCAAAGUGACAGGAUGAUAGCUCAGCUGAAGUGCAUCUACACCAAUGCACACAGCAUGGACAACAAACAGGAGGAGAUGGAAACCACUGUGUUG